rnacentral:rRNA from 1 species
GACGAACGCUGGCGGCGUGCUUAACACAUGCAAGUCGAACGGUAAGGCCCUUCGGGGUACACGAGUGGCGAACGGGUGAGUAACACGUGGGUGAUCUGCCCUGCACUUCGGGAUAAGCCUGGGAAACUGGGUCUAAUACCGGAUAGGACCACUGCCUGCAUGGGUGGUGGUGGAAAGCUUUUGCGGUGUGGGAUGGGCCCGCGGCCUAUUAGCUUGUUGGUGGGGUGAUGGCCGACCAAGGCGACGAUCUGUAGCGGGUCUGAGGGGAUGAUCCGCCACACUGGGACUGAGACACGGCCCAGACUCCUACGGGAGGCCGCAGUGGGGAAUAUUGCACAAUGGGCGCAAGCCUGAUGCAGCCAUGCCGCGUGUAUGAAGAAGGCCUUCGGGUUGUAAAGUACUUUCAGCGGGGAGGAAGGCGGUGAAGUUAAUAACUUCACCGAUUGACGUUACCCGCAGAAGAAGCACCGGCUAACUCCGUGCCAGCCGCCGCGGUAA